rnacentral:lncRNA from 1 species
GGAAAAAAGAGGCUCCCUAGUACACCUGAAGCACUACAGCAGAGUGAUAUGAAACUGAUGACCAGAGCAACUCAUAAAAACAUUUAAAGGUAGUAGAAAUCUUUGACAUCUGAAGUGGAUGAGAAGAAAAGGGAGGAGAUGAUUUACUGUGCCGUGAUGCAAAGAAAGAAGAGCAGGAUAGAUCCCAGAUAACUUGCCUGCUUAUUGGUUGGCCUGCUGUGAAGGGCAGGAAAUAA